CCGGCCUGGAGCGAGAAGUGGGCCUCCUGGUUAAGAUGGACAGCCUGGAAUGACUAACCCUCCCCACCGGACGGUCCCUGCAGCAUAGAUGGCCCGGACCAGCCCACCCUUCCUUCCCAUCGACGGGAGGUUGCCCCACCCAUUGCAGCAUGGCCACACUACCUUUGAUCAGAUGACUUACCCGACAUCACCUGACAAGCCCUGAAUCUGGGUGAUGACAUGUGCGCCUGUAACGUCAUGAGGGGGCUGGCUUCACACACAACAGAUGAAGCAGCCAAGCCUCCUUUUAGCACCUGACUUGUCUUGAAUUGUCUCGGGCCGCACAGCAAGCUGGGAAAGGUAGGAGAUAACACUCAUCCGGGGACAAGAAAUGAAAAGAAAUUCAAUACCAGCCACCAAACACAGGACCAACCUGUCUUCUGUCCAGUCUUAGUCAUUCCAUUACCCGAGGAUGCUACACCUCAGUUGCUUGCCUCCUGGAGCCUUGGGCAUUGCAGAACAUCAGGGAGUACUACAAAGUACAGGAAUCCUGCUGGAAGCCAACAAUUGAGGAUUGAACCCCUUUUAGUGGAAAAAGUAAAUGGCUGGG